UUACUCCUACCGGAGGCAGCAGUGGGGAAUAUUGCACAAUGGGCGCAAGCCUGAUGCAGCGACGCCGCGUGAGGGAUGACGGCCUUCGGGUUGUAAACCUCUUUCAGUAGGGAAGAAGCGAAAGUGACGGUACCUGCAGAAGAAGCGCCGGCUAACUACGUGCCAGCAGCCGCGGUAAUACGUAGGGCGCAAGCGUUAUCCGGAUUUAUUGGGCGUAAAGAGCUCGUAGGCGGUUUGUCGCGUCUGCCGUGAAAGUCCGAGGCUCAACCUCGGAUCUGCGGUGGGUACGGGCAGACUAGAGUGAUGUAGGGGAGACUGGAAUUCCUGGUGUAGCGGUGAAAUGCGCAGAUAUCAGGAGGAACACCGAUGGCGAAGGCAGGUCUCUGGGCAUUUACUGACGCUGAGGAGCGAAAGCAUGGGGAGCGAACAGGAUUAGAUACCCUGGUAGUCCAUGCCGUAAACGUUGGGCACUAGGUGUGGGGGACAUUCCACGUUUUCCGCGCCGUAGCUAACGCAUUAAGUGCCCCGCCUGGGGAGUACGGCCGCAAGGCUAAAACUCAAAGGAAUUGACGGGGGCCCGCACAAGCGGCGGAGCAUGCGGAUUAAUUCGAUGCAACGCGAAGAACCUUACCAAGGCUUGACAUGUGCCAGACCGCUCCAGAGAUGGGGUUCCCUUAU
rnacentral:rRNA from 1 species